GCGAGACAGAGACAGCGGCGAUUUGGAGACUGGCGGAGCAAACGAAGCUAAAAUCGACUCGGGGACACCGCUGGAAAAGGUUAACUACGACGAGAACGUUUUGGUCAUAAUGGCUGGUAACCAGAAUCCGACGUUCUUAGCUAGGCCUGUAUGCAUAAAAGUUUUCUCCGCCGUGGAAACCGCCGUCAAUGGUAAAUCGGA
rnacentral:misc_RNA from 1 species